rnacentral:rRNA from 1 species
GCCUUCGCCACGCCCGCUCAAGAAACUACAAAGGAAUUGACGGGACCCCGCACAAGCGGUGGAUCAUGUUGUUUAAUUCGAUGAUACGCGAAGAACCUUACCAGGUCUUGACAUCCCCCGCGAUGCUUUAGAGAUAAAGCGGAGGUAUUCGGGGAGACAGGUGGUGCAUGGUUGUCGUCAGCUCGUGUCGUGAGAUGUUGGGUUAAGUCCCGUAACGAGCGCAACCCUUGUCCUUAGUUACCAGCACGUUAUGGUGGGCACUCUAAGGAGACUGCCGGUGACAAACCGGAGGAAGGUGGGGAUGACGUCAAGUCAUCAUGGCCCUUACGGCCUGGGCUACACACGUGCUACAAUGGUCGGUACAAAGGGUUGCCAAGCCGCGAGGUGGAGCUAAUCCCAUAAAACCGAUCGUAGUCCGGAUCGCAGUCUGCAACUCGACUGCGUGAAGUCGGAAUCGCUAGUAAUCGUGAAUCAGAAUGUCACGGUGAAUACGUUCCCGGGCCUU